rnacentral:rRNA from 1 species
AACCGACUAAUGUUGAAAAAUUAGCGGAUGACCUGUGGCUGGGGGUGAAAGGCCAAUCAAACCGGGAGAUAGCUGGUUCUCCCCGAAAGCUAUUUAGGUAGCGCCUCGUGAAUUCAUCUCCGGGGGUAGAGCACUGUUUCGGCUAGGGGGCCAUCCCGGCUUACCAACCCGAUGCAAACUGCGAAUACCGGAGAAUGUUAUCACGGGAGACACACGGCGGGUGCUAACGUCCGUCGUGAAGAGGGAAACAACCCAGACCGCCAGCUAAGGUCCCAAAGUCAUGGUUAAGUGGGAAACGAUGUGGGAAGGCCCAGACAGCCAGGAUGUUGGCUUAGAAGCAGCCAUCAUUUAAAGAAAGCGUAAUAGCUCACUGGUCGAGUCGGCCUGCGCGGAAGAUGUAACGGGGCUAAACCAUGCACCGAAGCUGCGGCAGCGACACUAUGUGUUGUUGGGUAGGGGAGCGUUCUGUAAGCCUGUGAAGGUGUGUCGUGAGGCAUGCUGGAGGUAUCAGAAGUGCGAAUGCUGACAUAAGUAACGAUAAAGCGGGUGAAAAGCCCGCUCGCCGGAAGACCAAGGGUUCCUGUCCAACGUUAAUCGGGGCAGGGUGAGUCGACCCCUAAGGCGAGGCCGAAAGGCGUAGUCGAUGGGAAACGGGUUAAUAUUCCCGUACUUGGUGUUACUGCGAAGGGGGGACGGAGAAGGCUAUGUUGGCCGGGCGACGGUUGUCCCGGUUUAAGCGUGUAGGUGUGUGUUCCAGGUAAAUCCGGUUCACUUUAACACUGAGGCGUGAUGACGAGGCACUACGGUGCUGAAGCAACAAAUGCCCUGCUUCCAGGAAAAGCCUCUAAGCAUCAGGUAACAUCAAAUCGUACCCCAAACCGACACAGGUGGUCAGGUAGAGAAUACCAAGGCGCUUGAGAGAACUCGGGUGAAGGAACUAGGCAAAAUGGUGCCGUAACUUCGGGAGAAGGCACGCUGACACGUAGGUGAAGUGAUUUACUCAUGGAGCUGAAGUCAGUCGAAGAUACCAGCUGGCUGCAACUGUUUAUUAAAAACACAGCACUGUGCAAACACGAAAGUGGACGUAUACGGUGUGACGCCUGCCCGGUGCCGGAAGGUUAAUUGAUGGGGUCAGCGCAAGCGAAGCUCCUGAUCGAAGCCCCGGUAAACGGCGGCCGUAACUAUAACGGUCCUAAGGUAGCGAAAUUCCUUGUCGGGUAAGUUCCGACCUGCACGAAUGGCGUAAUGAUGGCCAGGCUGUCUCCACCCGAGACUCAGUGAAAUUGAACUCGCUGUGAAGAUGCAGUGUACCCGCGGCAAGACGGAAAGACCCCGUGAACCUUUACUAUAGCUUGACACUGAACAUUGAGCCUUGAUGUGUAGGAUAGGUGGGAGGCUUUGAAGUGUGGACGCCAGUCUGCAUGGAGCCGACCUUGAAAUACCACCCUUUAAUGUUUGAUGUUCUAACGUGGACCCGUAAUCCGGGUUGCGGACAGUGUCUGGUGGGUAGUUUGACUGGGGCGGUCUCCUCCUAAAGAGUAACGGAGGAGCACGAAGGUUGGCUAAUCCUGGUCGGACAUCAGGAGGUUAGUGCAAUGGCAUAAGCCAGCUUGACUGCGAGCGUGACGGCGCGAGCAGGUGCGAAAGCAGGUCAUAGUGAUCCGGUGGUUCUGAAUGGAAGGGCCAUCGCUCAACGGAUAAAAGGUACUCCGGGGAUAACAGGCUGAUACCGCCCAAGAGUUCAUAUCGACGGCGGUGUUUGGCACCUCGAUGUCGGCUCAUCACAUCCUGGGGCUGAAGUAGGUCCCAAGGGUAUGGCUGUUCGCCAUUUAAAGUGGUACGCGAGCUGGGUUUAGAACGUCGUGAGACAGUUCGGUCCCUAUCUGCCGUGGGCGCUGGAGAACUGAGGGGGGCUGCUCCUAGUACGAGAGGACCGGAGUGGACGCAUCACUGGUGUUCGGGUUGUCAUGCCAAUGGCACUGCCCGGUAGCUAAAUGCGGAAGAGAUAAGUGCUGAAAGCAUCUAAGCACGAAACUUGCCCCGAGAUGAGUUCUCCCUGAGACUUAAAGUCUCCUGAAGGAACGUUGAAGACGACGACGUUGAUAGG